UGUCCAGCAACUUCUAUCCCUACCUUCUCGUGGUACUAGCCGGGGUACGAGUAACCUUAGGGAAGAUCGGGUACCCAACCCCGGUGGGAAGUCUGAUCGUAUGCUGACAGAGAAGA
rnacentral:ribozyme from 1 species